GUGAUGUGGAGACGCUGCAUGAAGAUUGAGCAAAAGCUGGCGCAUGAGGUUAGCAGGUCCGGCUGUGAUUGUUAGCUUUCAAACAAUAAAUCAGGGGCAAGAGCCAGGAGGUGCAGGUGGCCUUCAGAAGCUGAAAAAGGCGAGACAACAGAGUCCCAAGGAAGAAGUACAGUCCCCCACCCCCCACAUCUUGAUCUUAGCCAGGCGAAUCUAUCGUCGAACAUCCGACCUCCAGAAAGUUCUUCAAGCAAGGAUAUCAAGCUGCUCAAUGAGACAAUUUGAGGCAUGGAUGGGCCAGAAUAUCUGAGGUGCUGUCAUUCCAAUUACUCCACUGUGCAGAUCUCUUUAGAAUCAAGUCAGCCCUCGGCGGAGUGCCAGCAGGAUGGAUCCUGAAACCUACUGUCUUCUCAUUACACACUUACUUGGUAUGCAUCAGCCCUGAGACAUUGAUGUGUGAGCCACUUGACGUUUUGAUGUCUACAGCCCAAACUCAAGCCUUUUCUCAGAGAUCCUACUCCAGGCUUACACGUCUGGGUCUCAAAGACAGUCCAUUCUCCACACAUCAACCGGAGUGGGAUUUCUCCAAAUGCUGAGCUGCGCAUGUCGUCUGCACGUCUUCAAACUUUUCAGUGGAUGCCGGGGGUCUUGUAAUGAAGAGCAACAAUUACCAGGGUUCCAAGUCUCUUUAACGCAUCCUGUCUCAUAAUCCUCUUCCCUCUGAUCUCUCCACCCCGGCCACCGUGAUCUGCCAUCAGUUCCUUAAAUGAGUCACCUUCACCCAGGAGCAAGGCCUUGACAUAGGUGGUUUCCUUUGUCUGAAAAGCUAUCUCCAUUCCGAAGUCUGCCACCGUAACAUCUCAGUGCCCUUUACUCCCCAACCCUAGUACCACUUCCUCCCUGAAGCUCUUCCUAAUCGCCCAUCCUGGAUGAGUCUGUACAUUUUAUUAAAGGACCUUA